rnacentral:rRNA from 1 species
AUUGAACGCUAGCGGCAGGCCUAAUACAUGCAAGUCGAACGGUGUCUUCGGACAUAGUGGCGCACGGGUGCGUAACACGUAUGCAACCUACCUUACAUUGGGGGAUAGCCUUUCGAAAGGGAGAUUAAUACCGCAUAAGACAGUAGCUGGGCAUCCAGCAGCUGUUAAAGAUUUAUCGAUGUAAGCUGGGCAUGCGUCCAAUUAGCUAGUUGGUGAGGUAACGGCUCACCAAGGCAAUGAUUGGUAGGGGAACUGAGAGGUCAAUCCCCCACACUGGCACUGGGAUACGGGCCAGACUCCUACGGGAGGCAGCAGUAGGGAAUAUUGGGCAAUGGACGCAAGUCUGACCCAGCCAUGCCGCGUGCAGGAUGAAGGCGUUAUGCGUUGUAAGCUGCUUUUAUACAGGAAGAAACGACCCUUGCGAGAGGCAUUGACGGUACUGUAUGAAUAAGCACCGGCUAACUCCGUGCCAGCAGCCGCAGUAAGAC